rnacentral:rRNA from 1 species
UACGAAGGGGGCUAGCGUUGUUCGGAUUUACUGGGCGUAAAGCGCACGUAGGCGGAUCGUUAAGUCGGGGGUGAAAUCCUGGAGCUCAACUCCAGAACUGCCUUCGAUACUGGCGAUCUUGAGUCCGGAAGAGGUGAGUGGAACUCCUAGUGUAGAGGUGGAAUUCGUAGAUAUUAGGAAGAACACCGGUGGCGAAGGCGGCCUGCUGGGCAGUUUUGCUGACACUGAGGCGCGACAGCGUGGGGGAGCAAACAGG